AUUGAACGCUGGCGGCAGGCCUAACACAUGCAAGUCGAGCGGAUGAAUGGAGCUUGCUCCUGGAUUCAGCGGCGGACGGGUGAGUAAUGCCUAUGAAUCUGCCUGGUCGUGGGGGAUAACGUCCGGAAACGGGCGCUAAUACCGCAUACGUCCUGAUGGAGCAAGUGGGGGAUCUUCGGACCUCACGCUAUCAGAUGAGCCUAGGUCGGAUUAGCUAGUUGGUGGGGUAAAGGCCUACCAAGGCGACGAUCCGUAACUGGUCUGAGAGGAUGAUCAGUCACACUGGAACUGAGACACGGUCCAGACUCCUACGGGAGGAAGCAGUGGGGAAUAUUGGACGAUGGGCGAAAGCGUGAUACAGCCAUGCCGCGUGUGUGAAGAAGGUCUUCGGAUUGUAAAGCACUUUAAGUUGGGAGGAAGGGCAGUAAGUUAAUACCUUGCUGUUUUGACGUUACCAACAGAAUAAGCACCGGCUAACUUCGUG
rnacentral:rRNA from 1 species